ACUUUACACCAGUCCCAGAUUUAUUUGAUGGCCAGAUUUUUUUAAUAUUAUUUUUCUCCAGUAGCAGCGACUUACAGAUGUGUAGCAGUUAUUACCUUGAUCAGCGCAGGGCGCUACAUCAUUAAUGUCACGCAGCUAUGAUACAUUAAUAGCGUAGCUGCAUCAUGGCACGCUGCUUGAAUAGCAUGCCAGGUUAAGGAGUGCUGCAUCUGUAUGUUUUGCAUGAGCACUUUAUUUUUAUUUUUAUAGAUCUGAACGAUAAUAGACACUACAAUGCAAUACUACAUUGGGAUGUGCCCAACUCUGCAUGAUUAAAAAUGGAAGCCUUGAAACUGUGCCGGAUCUGUCACAUGACGCCAAUAGGGCCCCAUUGAUUUAUAAUGGAGUAAAGUUCCAUCAUGUUUACAUUGUUUAGCUGGGGGAAAAAAGCGCUGCUUGCAGUACACUAGCACAGCAAUAUGAAAGCAAUUGCUGUAUCCUAUAGAAACUAGCGGCUUACUAUGGGCUACUUCACUUUUUUUCCCCAGCAGGCCCAUUUAUUAAGUGCACCCCCAAUUCUGAAGCUGAAUCUUUAUUCUGUAGGUUGAAGAGGACCGGUCACCUCGCCUGACACACUUGUGUUCCCCAUAAAAUAACAAAUCUGGAACAUCUUUUCUUCUAACUCUGCAUUGUGCCAUUCAUCUGUUAUUCCACCUAGAAAUGUAUAAAUGAAUUCAUAUUUCCCCUUAUCGGAGGAGUGUGUCAUCACGAUUGGACAAUGGCAGACUGUGCAGGGACACAUCCCUCAUUGGUAACACCCAAUUUAUUCAUCUAUUUCUAGGAGGAAUAACAAAGGAAUGGCACAAAGCAGAGCUCUAAGAAAAUAAACUCCAGAAUUAUUUCAUGGGGUAUACAGUUGACAAAAACCGACAUGUCGGGGGAGCUGAAGGGUCCUCUUUGAUUGGAUUUUAAGCAGUCUCAAGGAUCACAUUGGAGCAAGCAAUGUAGAUAUGACAUUCUCAUAUUUGGGUUCAGAAUAAAUCUCUGGAAACUGCAGGAGUUUGGCUGGCGUUGUGUCCAUCUCUAUAGUGUACUGUAUAUCCAUUGGUGUUAUCCAUUCUCCACUCUGUCCCUUCGCCUCCGUUAAAAAAGGAAGCUAGGGGAGGCAACGGAUAAAGUAUGUAGAGAUAUCUACAUAUGAUUCUAUGUACUCGGAGCAGGAGGAUUUGGAGUAAUGGAAGCACCAGGGAUUCUAGUUUUUACAACAUAUUUGUAAGGCUAAGUUCACACCACGUUUUCUCUUUCUGUUGAAAUUUGUAAUUUUUUUUUAUCAUGAACAAAAAAUGGUUGCAGACAGACGCUGUAAGGGGAUGUCUGACCUGUAGCAUCCUAGACAUUCAUUGUCUAAAAAAA